CUAAAUUAUAAUCCAUAGAAUUUCUUAAUACUUUGCCAAAAUGUAGUUUAUAUCCUGCUUGUUUAAGAACAUUAAUAAAAAGAAUGGGUCACGUGACUUAUUUUCAUACUACAGGUUGAGCAAAAUUGUCAAAUUUUGUAUAGAUUAUGUAUGGAAAACCCAAUUUUCGCUCAUAAAACGAAAACUACACCAUAGAAUUUUGAGAUAAAUUAUGAG
rnacentral:lncRNA from 1 species